UACGUAGGGUCCGAGCGUUGUCCGGAAUUAUUGGGCGUAAAGAGCUCGUAGGUGGCUUGUCACGUCGGGUGUGAAAGCUUGGGGCUUAACUCCAGGUCUGCAUUCGAUACGGGCUGGCUAGAGGUAGGUAGGGGAGAACGGAAUUCCUGGUGUAGCGGUGAAAUGCGCAGAUAUCAGGAGGAACACCGGUGGCGAAGGCGGUUCUCUGGGCCUUACCUGACGCUGAGGAGCGAAAGCGUGGGGAGCGAACAGG
rnacentral:rRNA from 1 species